rnacentral:rRNA from 1 species
AUUGAACGCUGGCGGCAGGCCUAACACAUGCAAGUCGAACGGUAACAGGAAACAGCUUGCUGUUUCGCUGACGAGUGGCGGACGGGUGAGUAAUGUCUGGGAAACUGCCUGAUGGAGGGGGAUAACUACUGGAAACGGUAGCUAAUACCGCAUAACGUCGCAAGACCAAAGAGGGGGACCCUCGGGCCUCUUGCCAUCGGAUGUGCCCAGAUGGGAUUAGCUUGUUGGUGGGGUAACGGCUCACCAAGGCGAUGAUCCCUAGCUGGUCUGAGAGGAUGACCAGCCACACUGGAACUGAGACACGGUCCAGACUCCUACGGGAGGCAGCAGUGGGGAAUAUUGCACAAUGGGCGCAAGCCUGAUGCAGCCAUGCCGCGUGUAUGAAGAAGGCCUUCGGGUUGUAAAGUACUUUCAGCGGGGAGGAAGGGAGUAAAGUUAAUACCUUUGCUCAUUGACGUUACCCGCAGAAGAAGCACCGGCUAACUCCGUG